CGGCGGACGGGUGAGUAAUGCUUAGGAAUCUGCCUAUUAGUGGGGGACAACAUUCCGAAAGGAAUGCUAAUACCGCAUACGUCCUACGGGAGAAAGCAGGGGACCUUCGGGCCUUGCGCUAAUAGAUGAGCCUAAGUCGGAUUAGCUAGUUGGUGGGGUAAAGGCCUACCAAGGCGACGAUCUGUAGCGGGUCUGAGAGGAUGAUCCGCCACACUGGGACUGAGACACGGCCCAGACUCCUACGGGAGGCAGCAGUGGGGAAUAUUGGACAAUGGGGGGAACCCUGAUCCAGCCAUGCCGCGUGUGUGAAGAAGGCCUUUUGGUUGUAAAGCACUUUAAGCGAGGAGGAGGCUACUAGUAUUAAUACUACUGGAUAGUGGACGUUACUCGCAGAAUAAGCACCGGCUAACUCUGUGCCAGCAGCCGCGGUAAUACAGAGGGUGCGAGCGUUAAUCGGAUUUACUGGGCGUAAAGCGUGCGUAGGCGGCUGAUUAAGUCGGAUGUGAAAUCCCUGAGCUUAACUUAGGAAUUGCAUUCGAUACUGGUCAGCUAGAGUAUGGGAGAGGAUGGUAGAAUUCCAGGUGUAGCGGUGAAAUGCGUAGAGAUCUGGAGGAAUACCGAUGGCGAAGGCAGCCAUCUGGCCUAAUACUGACGCUGAGGUACGAAAGCAUGGGGAGCAAACAGGAUUAGAUACCCUGGUAGUCCAUGCCGUANACGAUGUCUACUAGCCGUUGGGGCCUUUGAGGCUUUAGUGGCGCAGCUAACGCGAUAAGUAGACNNCCUGGGGAGUACGGUCGCAAGACUAAAAC
rnacentral:rRNA from 1 species